CGUUCUGGCCCUUGUGGGGGACAAGAGUGAUGGAAAUAGUGAAGAAGCACGACUCGGGUGGAGCUAUGACUUCUAAGGAUUGGCAGGUCUCUCUCUCUCCCUCUGACUCUCUCCCUCCCCAACUCCCUAUAUACGAAGAACAAAAAUAAAAUGAUAGCUCUAGCUUUGAACUGUGCUCCUUGUGAGCUCGUUUUGUGAAAUUACUGUUUGUCAUUAAUUAUUUUGAUGGAAAUGGAAGUAUGAUUCAGGCCCAACUGAUAGGUUGAGCAUUUAUUCAUGUCUCUUCAGUUAUAUGUUUGGGCAAAAAAGAUCUCUUUUUUUUUUUUUUCCCUCUGCAAAGGAGAUGUCAUUGGAUUUCAUUAAAGUAUGUACUAUGUAGAGCCUGAUAAAAAGUCGUACAUGCUUAGUUAGGUUCGAUCACAAUUCAUAAAUCAGUGUCAAAGAAAUGGGUAAAGUUUUAGUACCGAUACAAGUGCAUCAAUUUAGGGUUGCAUUUCGAUUUGUGGAUUUCAUGAAGAUUCAUGCAGCCAUGUAGAGACUGAGUAUUGGAAUCUAUACUUCAUUAAUGAUGUCUAAACCUCGUAUAUAUGGAUUGGAAAUAACACGAAGAACUCGCUAUCUGAUCGUAACCCAAAGAUCCUUAUUUAAAUGUCUCCCCAACACCUCUACCCGAUCCUCCCCUUAGGUACUUUAAUCAUCACUAAUAGCUAAACCUUCUUUUGUUUUCAUUGUGACUGCAAAACACAGAUUUCAAUUCAUCUAUUGAAAUGGAAAACGGUAAUACUUGUGGAGCCUUUUGAAGCUGCCAUUUCCUCAUUACAGCUCAAGCAAUCAAAGCCACAACUAAUAAAGUGCAUCCAUAUUUCCACUGGGCUUACGCCAUGGGUGUAUCUCCUAAUAUAAACCAAAACCAAACCAAAUAGAGCAUUAAGUCCAAAUCAAUUAGGAUCGACCACAAGAAGCCGUUGUUUCCAUGGAGUCCUGUCAAGGGCAUCGUGUUCCAUGAUAUACAAAAAACCUAAAUCCUAUCGAACUACUGCCUCUAAUGUCAAUUUUGGUCUCUCUCUCCCCUUAGUGUUACCCUCAACCGUAAUUAUAUCACUUCUCCUAACUACCGCAAUGGUUGAUCUGUGAUAGGAUGGGCGAAUCUCCUAACGUGUAACGGAAAAUAGUGGUAAAUUGGAAGGCAAUGCAACUGAACAAGGACCUGCAAGUGAGAACCUUGGCUGAUAACUAAGGAUGCAGGAUUGAGAGAGCAGCAGCUAAAUGGGGUUUUCGAGUUUGUUCUUCCUGUCUUUCUGAGUGAAUGUCAGUAUGUCACCAAACCCAUUGUAUAAAACAUUCGAAGUUAAACUAAUUACUACUUAAUGGGAUUCUGUGUCCAUGUCAAAUCGUGUAAGCAUGCAUUUUCUUUCUUCUGCACUAGCUGUAGACCAAACAGAACUAUGUACCUCUUUUUGUGUUUCAAGGAAAAUGAAACUUUACAAAGUAACUAAA